UAACUCGAUAAAUUUUGAUGGCAUUAUUUAACUGUAGUCACAAUAAAUUCAACUUAAGUGGUCAUGCAUUCAAUUCUUUUAUUAUUCUGUAAAUCAUUCUCCAUUCGUGGCAUUAUUUUAACUCGAUAAAUUUUGAUGGCAUUAGUUUAACCUAGUCACAAUAAAUUCAACUUAAUCGGCAUUAACAGAUGGUCAUGCAUUCAUUUCUUUGUACUUUUCUGUAAAUUAUUCUCCAUUCAUGGCAUUAUUUUAACUCUAGUCACAAUAAAUUCAACUUAACUAGCAUUAACUGUUGGUCAUGCCUUCAUUGCAUUAAGUGACGGUCAUACAUUCAUUUCUUUUUAUUAUUUUGUAACUCAUUCUCCAUUCAUGGCAUUAUUCUAACUCCAGAUAAAUUUAACUUGAUUAGCAUUAACUGACGGUCAUGCAUUCGUUUCUUUUUAUUAUUCCGUAAAUCAUUUUCCAUUGAUGGCAUUAUUAUAACUCUAGUCAUGAUAAAUUCAACUUAAUUAGCAUUAACUGAUGGUCAUGCAUUCAUUUCUUUUUGUUGUGAAACUCACAGUAUGCAAAUGGCUGAAAUCAUAUCCUUGUGCUAGGGCACAAUAUAUUCUUCUGAACAAGAUUCAAAUAACUUCUUUCCUGAAGUUAUUUGUGGGAGCCCGUGAUGGUUCUUUUCAGAUAUGUAAGGAAAUAUUUUCUUUAAUGACCCUUCGAAAAUC
rnacentral:lncRNA from 1 species